GAUGAACGCUGGCGGCGUGCCUAAUACAUGCAAGUCGAGCGAACAGACGAGGAGCUUGCUCCUUCGACGUUAGCGGCGGACGGGUGAGUACCACGUAGGUAACCUACCUAUAAGACUGGGAUAACUUCGGGAAACCGGAGCUAAUACCGGAUAAUAUUUCGAACCGCAUGGUUCGAUAGUGAAAGAUGGCUUUGCUAUCACUUAUAGAUGGACCUGCGCCGUAUUAGCUAGUUGGUAAGGUAACGGCUUACCAAGGCAACGAUGCGUAGCCGACCUGAGAGGGUGAUCGGCCACACUGGAACUGAGACACGGUCCAGACUCCUACGGGAGGCAGCAGUAGGGAAUCUUCCGCAAUGGGCGAAAGCCUGACGGAGCAACGCCGCGUGAGUGAUGAAGGUCUUCGGAUCGUAAAACUCUGUUAUUAGGGAAGAACAAACGUGUAAGUAACUGUGCACGUCUUGACGGUACCUAAUCAGAAAGCCACGGCUAACUACGUG
rnacentral:rRNA from 1 species